GAGGGUAUAGCUCAGUGGUGGAGCUGUGCUUAGCAUGCACGAGGCCCUGGGUUCAAUCCCCAGUGCCUCCA
rfam:Camelus ferus unplaced genomic scaffold scaffold155, whole genome shotgun sequence.